ensembl:lncRNA LINC01605 long intergenic non-protein coding RNA 1605
UGCAGUCUUCAGGCCUGGAGCAGAGAAGGGAGAGUUCCUGCUCUAGUAGCCAGUCCUGCCAGGGUUCUGGCUGUGCCGGGACAGUGAAUGGCCACUCCGUCCCAGAUGAGCUGCAGGAAGCGUUUCGAUGUCAUGUGGAGGUGAUGGCGAUUUUCAACUCAUUCCCGUUACAAACAGCCGACCUUCCUACCGAGUUCAA